rnacentral:rRNA from 1 species
UACGGGGGGGGUAAGCGUUGUUCGGAAUUACUGGGCGUAAAGGGCUCGUAGGUGGUCUGUUAAGUCAGGGGUGAAAUCCCGCGGCCCAACCGUGGAACUGCCUUUGAUACUGGCGGACUUGAGUGCGUGAGGGGUAGGGGGAACGAGCAGUGUAGCGGUGAAAUGCGCAGAUAUCAGGAGGAACACCGGUGGCGAAGGCGUCUCUGGGCCGAUACUGACGCUGAGGAGCGAAAGCGUGGGGAGCGAACAGG